GACGAACGCUGGCGGCGUGCCUAAUACAUGCAAGUCGAGCGGGGAUUAUGCUUGAUCGCUUCGGUGAGACGGCAUAUAUCCUAGCGGCGGACGGGUGAGUAACGCGUGGGUAAUCUACCUCGUAGUUCGGGAUAACAGGCCGAAAGGCUUGCUAAUACCGGAUGAGUUCAUGCUUAUGCAUAUAGGCAUGAAGAAAGGGCUAGCCCGCUAUGAGAUGAGCCCGCGUCCCAUUAGCUUGUUGGUGGGGUAAUGGCCUACCAAGGCAACGAUGGGUAGCCGGCCUGAGAGGGUGUACGGCCACACUGGGACUGAGACACGGCCCAGACUCCUACGGGGGCAGCAGUAGGGAAUUUCGGCAAUGGGCGAAAGCCUGACCGAGCGACGCCGCGUGAGGGACGAAGGCCUUCGGGUUGUAAACCUCUGUCUGGGGGAUGAGAACGGACGGUACCCCGGAGGAAGCCCCGGCUAACCUACGUG
rnacentral:rRNA from 1 species